CUUGAGAGGCCAAAGAAAGAUGGGAGCCUCCAGAUAACACUGACUGACUACUGUUGUCAGCUGGUUGACGCAGCCCGGGACUUUGUGCCUGCAUGUUCCCACCCCUCUGCAGUGCGAGGACCUGAACCCACCACCAAAACCAAGAUCCAUAUUGACAGGUCCAGAGUCUAGCAAUCAGAGAACAGAAAGUCAAGUUGAGCCUCUAACAAUGGAAGUCACCUCUCAGAGAAAUGCGUGACUACCACUAAGGUGAAGAUGCUACCAUGACACCAUCCUGACUUUCCUGGGCAGAUGACCUCACCAAUGUGUCCUGGACCCCUACCUCUCCUAUCCCACUUGGGAAAGACAGAAACAGUCUGGAGGGACAGAUUGACCUAGCACUGUCCAUGUCCAACAGAGAAGCAAUUAUAGAAGUCAGACCUUCCACCUUCUGUAUUCCAUAAAGAUCUUUGGUCCAUACUUCCAAAAAGAUAAAGAAUAGGGAAGCUUCCAGUGGAAGGGGAUAGGAUACAGAAUUCUGGUGGUGGGAACUGUGUGACAUUGUUCCCUCCUUAUCCUACA